rnacentral:rRNA from 1 species
GCCGCGUGAGUGAAGAAGGUUCUUCUGGAUCUGUAAAACUCUGUUGUUAGAGAAGAACAAGGAUGAGAGUAACUGCUCAUCCCCUGACGGUAUCUAACCAGAAAGCCACGGCUAACUAG